UUUGCUUCAAUAUCAAUUGUCAAAAAAAGGAAGUAAAAUAUGGGGCUACUCUUUUAAGCAACUGGCAAUUGAACCAAGUUAAGGGAGUACCUUUUUAAUCUUCUAAGCCUUUUUUUUUUCUUUUCUUUGUUAUCACCACCUACACACAAUUAAAAUUCUGCAACUACAAUGCAUUUCUACAGGAGAAGUGCAUCCAGAGACCAUAUCUGGACUGUUCAAAUUACUCAGACUUUGCUUGGUGAUCCUCAGCCUCUGAAACUUCCACCUUCUACAUAGAUGCCUCUUAAUGGUUGUGCUCAUCUCAUGACAAUAUUAAGACGAUUUGGCCUUCGACAUUGGGUGUUGCCUACGAUAUUCCCGUGAUUCAAAUUUGUCACCAUAAGCAGGUGGGGCAACCACAGGAUUUGAAGAAGUAAGUGUUUCUCUCAUUUUUCACUUCAAUUUUAUUUUUUUAAUUUUUCAUGCUCUGUUACACUUGCUGGUCUUUUUUGUUUUGGGGAUUCGACACACAUGCACAAAUGAACUAUGAUUGAAAGUUAGAACUAAUUUUUUCUUCACAUGCUUCAGGCUUCAACCACAAGUUAGAUUCUUUAUUCUUCAU